ensembl:ncRNA R03E1.5 ncRNA
GAAAAAAAAUGAUUCCGCAGUCAGCAGGAUUCGAACCUACGCGGGCAAAGCCCAAUUGAUUUCUAGUCAAUCUCCUUAACCACUCGGACAUGACUGCACAU